rnacentral:rRNA from 1 species
CGGAGGAAAAGAAACCAACAGGGAUUGCCCUAGUAACGGCGAGUGAACAGGCAAGAGCUCAGAUUUGAAAGGCACUUUUGUGCCGUUGUAUUCUGAAGUUAGGGUCCUGAGAAACGAUGCUUAAGUCUUCUGGAAAGGAGCGCCAUGGAGGGUGAUAGCCCCGUCUAGCAUUGACCUCAUAUAGGAUCUUAACAUGGAGUCGAGUUGUUUGGGAAUGCAGCUCAAAUGGGUGGUAUGCUCCAUCUAAAGCUAAAUAUCUGCGAGAGACCGAUAGUAAACAAGUACUGUGAGGGAAAGAUGAAAAGAACUUUGAAAAGAGAGUGAAAAAGUACGUGAAAUUGUUGAAAUGGAAGGGUAGGCCGCUAACCAUGUAGAGCCGUGUUUGGGGGGAAGAUAAAUGCUGUAGAAUGUAGCUCCUCGGAGUAUUAUAGAUGCAGUUCAUAUUCCCACCCGAGCGCGAGGAUCUCAGGUUCUACUAAAUGGUGGUCUACCACCCGUCUU